ACACCAUCUUGUUUCAUAGCACAUCAGCUAGAUUCUGCUUUCAUUUCAAGCCCAAUUGCAAUCCUACGAGUGACUAGAGACAAAGGCAAAAGACCUCAGCAUCAUCUUCCUGCAGAA